GACGAACGCUGGCGGCGUGCUUAACACAUGCAAGUCGAACGGAAAGGCCCUGCUUUUGUGGGGUGCUCGAGUGGCGAAGGGGUGAGUAACACGUGAGUAACCUGCCCUUGACUUUGGGAUAACUUCAGGAAACGGGGGCUAAUACCGGAUAGGAGCUCCUGCUGCAGGGAGGGGGUUGGAAAGUUUCGGCGGGUGGGGAUGGACGCGCGGCUUAUGAGCUUGUUGGUGGGGUAGGGGCUGACCAAGGCUUGGACGGGUAGCCGGCCUGGGAGGGUGACCGGCCACCUUGGGCCUGCGAUCGGCCCCAGACGCCUACGGGUGACAUCGGUCGCAAGUCGUGCCCCAUGGGCCGCCGCCUGGUGCGACAGCGCCGCGUGCGUGAUGCCGGCCUUUGGGUCGUAAACCGCUUUCGCCUGUGACGACGCGUGAGUGACGGUAAUGGGUAAAGAAGCACCGGCUAACUACGUG
rnacentral:rRNA from 1 species